rnacentral:rRNA from 1 species
UACGGAGGAUGCAAGCGUUAUCCGGAAUCAUUGGGCGUAAAGCGUCCGCAGGUGGUUAUUCAAGUCUGCUGUCAAAGCCCGGGGCUUAACCCUGGAGAGGCAGUGGAAACUGAAUGGCUAGAGUAUGGUAGGGGUAGAGGGAAUUCCAGGUGUAGCGGUGAAAUGCGUAGAUAUCUGGAAGAACACCAGUGGCGAAGGCGCUCUACUGGGCCAUAACUGACACUGAGGGACGAAAGCUAGGGGAGCGAAAGGG